CGUGUGUGAAGAAGGCCUUCGGGUUGUAAAGCACUUUCAGCGGGGAGGAAGGCGAUAAGGUUAAUAACCUUGUCGAUUGACGUUACCCGCAGAAGAAGCACCGGCUAACUCCGUGCCAGCAGCCGCGGUAAUACGGAGGGUGCAAGCGUUAAUCGGAAUUACUGGGCGUAAAGCGCACGCAGGCGGUCUGUCAAGUCGGAUGUGAAAUCCCCGGGCUUAACCUGGGAACUGCAUUCGAAACUGGCAGGCUAGAGUCUUGUAGAGGGGGGUAGAAUUCCAGGUGUAGCGGUGAAAUGCGUAGAGAUCUGGAGGAAUACCGGUGGCGAAGGCGGCCCCCUGGACAAAGACUGACGCUCAGGUGCGAAAGCGUGGGGAGCAAACAGGAUUAGAUCCCCUGGUAGUCCACGCCGUAAACGAUGUCGAUUUGGAGGUUGUGCCCUUGAGGCGUGGCUUCCGGAGCUAACGCGUUAAAUCGACCGCCUGGGGAGUACGGCCGCAAGGUUAAAACUCAAAUGAAUUG
rnacentral:rRNA from 1 species